rnacentral:rRNA from 1 species
GUGGGGAAUAUUGCACAAUGGGGGAAACCCUGAUGCAGCGACGCCGCGUGAAGGAAGAAGUAUCUCGGUAUGUAAACUUCUAUCAGCAGGGAAGAUAAUGACGGUACCUGACUAAGAAGCCCCGGCUAACUACGUGCCAGCAGCCGCGGUAAUACGUAGGGGGCAAGCGUUAUCCGGAUUUACUGGGUGUAAAGGGAGCGUAGACGGCGCAGCAAGUCUGAUGUGAAAGGCAGGGGCUUAACCCCUGGACUGCAUUGGAAACUGCUGUGCUUGAGUGCCGGAGGGGUAAGCGGAAUUCCUAGUGUAGCGGUGAAAUGCGUAGAUAUUAGGAGGAACACCAGUGGCGAAGGCGGCUUACUGGACGGUAACUGACGUUGAGGCUCGAAAGCGUGGGGAGCAAACAGGAUUAGAAACCCUUGUAGUCC